AGGGGAAAAUUUGGCUUUCUCCAAAACCUGCUGUUGACAGGUUUGAUUCCUUAGUGAUAAAUGUGGUUAUUUGCUGAAUUUUCAGAUGUACUCUUUAUGAAGAACAGUGGCCUGGCAGUUCUUUUUCUAGCUGCUGCUUUUUCCUGAAAUGAUCACAAGAUUAGAGGUAUGCUGGGAGUAUGAUGAGCAAAAGACUCUGAAGGCUGCUACAAAGCUGGUGUGGGUAUACUACGUUGGUUUCAGUCCAGUUUUGAACAGAGGCAUGUCUACUCACAUUCAGUAAUUGGUUGAAUAAUGGGAACUCUUUUUUGAUUUCCUUACGGAGCCUGUUAGCAAAAGUUUAGAUGCAGACUCCACCUCUGAGUUUGGAGUCUGCCUGAUUAAAAUAAUUUCUCCUCCCCUUCUAACAGUCAGCAAUUGUUUAACACUUCUGUAGUACUUCUUUAAUAAAGCCACUGGUAAUAACAGCAAAUUAAAACAAUGUCAUGUAAAA